CAGAGCGUAGCUAAGACAGUAAAGCGCCUCCCUUACACUGAGAAGUCAUUCGUGCAAUUCGAAUCGCCCUGA
rnacentral:tRNA from 1 species